AAUAGAUACCCGGGUAGUCCACGCCGUAAACGAUGAGUGCUAAGUGUUGGGGGGGUUUCCGCCCCUCAGUGCUGCAGCUAACGCAUUAAGCACUCCGCCUGGGGAGUACGGUCGCAAGACUGAAACUCAAAGGAAUUGACGGGGGCCCGCACAAGCGGUGGAGCAUGUGGUUUAAUUCGAAGCAACGCGAAGAACCUUACCAGGUCUUGACAUCCCGGUGACCACUAUGGAGACAUAGUUUCCCCUUCGGGGGCAACGGUGACAGGUGGUGCAUGGUUGUCGUCAGCUCGUGUCGUGAGAUGUUGGGUUAAGUCCCGCAACGAGCGCAACCCUUAUUCUUAGUUGCCAUCAUUCAGUUGGGCACUCUAAGGAGACUGCCGUACAAAUACGGAGGAAGGUGGGGAUGACGUCAAAUCAUCAUGCCCCUUAUGACCUGGGCUACACACGUGCUACAAUGGACGGUACAAACGGUUGCGAAGUCGCGAGACGGAGCCAAUCCGGAGAAAGCCGUUCUCAGUUCGGAUUGCAGG
rnacentral:rRNA from 1 species